rnacentral:lncRNA from 1 species
UAAGUAUUGGCAUUGGAUUAUUUAAAAUUUAUUAUAAAGAUAUGAUUAUGCAAUCUAACAUAAUCUUAACCAAAAAAAUUGACUUACUUCUAGUAUUGUUACUCAAACCACAUAAGUAUUGAAAGGCUUAAAUAAUUCACUCAACAUAAGGGAGUAGUGGGCUUUUCAAACAAGUUCUUCUAUACAUGUGCUAUACUUAAUUCUGUAGCAAACAAACAAUUAUAAAGUUUUCUAAAACCACCACUUUUUAGGCCAUUCAAUCUCUUGAAUUGAUUCAUUUAGAUCUAAGUAGAAAGAUAUCUCCAUCUAUAUUUUUUAAUUUUGAGUACUAUAUUACCUUCAUCAACAACUAUUCUUAUUAUAUAAUUUUUUAAUUUUUUAGAUUCAAAAGUGAAUGUUUUAAAUUCU